rnacentral:rRNA from 2 species
AUGGCUCAGAUUGAACGCUGGCGGCAGGCCUAACACAUGCAAGUCG